UUCAAGGCCAGUCCUAAGAUACCCUAGGAA
rnacentral:piRNA from 1 species